AUGACUCAGCCUGAAUGGCAACUUGCGAUGGUCGAAGAGCUUGCUGCCCUUGAGCGCUCAGGCACAUGUGAUUUGGUUCCUCUCCCUUCCGGUGUUCGUCCCAUCACCCGCAAGUGGGUCCACAAGAUUAAGAUUCGCUCUGAUGGUUCUCUUGAGAGCUACAAAGCUCGUCUUGUGGCCCGUGGUUUUCAGCAGGAGCAGGGACGCGAUUAUGAUGAGACUUUCGCUCCUAUGGCCCACAUGACCACUGUCCGCACUCUCCUUGCUGUGGCUUCUGUUCAUCAUUGGUCUAUCUCUCAACUUGAU
rnacentral:rRNA from 1 species